rnacentral:rRNA from 1 species
AUUGAACGCUAGCGGGAUGCCUUACACAUGCAAGUCGAACGGCAGCGCGGACUUCGGUCUGGCGGCGAGUGGCGAACGGGUGAGUAAUGUAUCGGAACGUGCCCAGUAGCGGGGGAUAACUACUCGAAAGAGUAGCUAAUACCGCAUACGCCCUACGGGGGAAAGGGGGGGAUCGCAAGACCUCUCACUAUUGGAGCGGCCGAUAUCGGAUUAGCUAGUUGGUGAGGUAAAGGCUCACCAAGGCGACGAUCCGUAGCUGGUUUGAGAGGACGACCAGCCACACUGGGACUGAGAAACGGCCCAGACUCCUACGGGAGGCAGCAGUGGGGAAUUUUGGACAAUGGUGGCAACCCUGAUCCAGCCAUUCCGCGUGUGCGAUGAAGGCCUUCGGGUUGUAAAGCACUUUUGGCAGGAAAGAAAUCGCACGGAUUAAUACUCUGUGUGGAUGACGGUACCUGCAGAAUAAGCACCGGCUAACUACGUGCCAGCCGCCGCAGUAA